UUCGACGUUUGACCUCAGAUUAGACGUGAAAACCCGCCGAAUUUAAGCAUAUAACUAGGCGGAGGAAAAGAAAUUAACGAAGAUUUCCUUAGUAACGGCGAGUGAAA
rnacentral:rRNA from 1 species